rnacentral:rRNA from 1 species
UACGAAGGGGGCUAGCGUUGCUCGGAAUUACUGGGCGUAAAGGGCGCGUAGGCGGAUAGUUUAGUCAGAGGUGAAAGCCCAGGGCUCAACCUUGGAACUGCCUUUGAUACUGGCUAUCUUGAGUUCGGGAGAGGUGAGUGGAAUGCCGAGUGUAGAGGUGAAAUUCGUAGAUAUUCGCAAGAACACCAGUGGCGAAGGCGGCUCACUGGCCCGAUACUGACGCUGAGGUGCGAAAGCGUGGGGAGCAAACAGG